rnacentral:rRNA from 1 species
UACGUAGGGGGCUAGCGUUGUCCGGAAUCAUUGGGCGUAAAGCGCGUGUAGGCGGUCCGGUAAGUCCGCUGUGAAAGUCGGGGGGCUCAACCCUCGGAUGCCGGUGGAGUACUGUCGGGCUUGAGUACGGAAGAGGCGAGUGGAAUUCCUGGUGUAGCGGGUGAAAAUGCGCAGAUAUCAGGAGGAACACCAAUUGCGAAGGCAGCUCGCUGGGACGUUACUGACGCUGAGACGCGAAGC